rnacentral:rRNA from 1 species
GAUGAACGCUGGCGGCGUGCCUAAUACAUGCAAGUCGAGCGAACAGACGAGGAGCUUGCUCCUCUGACGUUAGCGGCGGACGGGUGAGUAACACGUGGAUAACCUACCUAUAAGACUGGGAUAACUUCGGGAAACCGGAGCUACUACCGGAUAAUAUAUUGAACCGCAUGGUUCAAUAGUGAAAGACGGUUUUGCUGUUACUUAUAGAUGGAUCCGCGCCGCAUUAGCUAGUUGGUAAGGUAAAGGCUUACCAAGGCAACGAUGCGUAGCCGACCUGAGAGGGUGAUCGGCCACACUGGAACUGAGACACGGUCCAGACUCCUACGGGAGGCAGCAGUAGGGAAUCUUCCGCAAUGGGCGAAAGCUUGACGGAGCAACGCCGCGUGAGUGAUGAAGGUCUUCGGAUCGUAAAACUCUGUUAUUAGGGAAGAACAAAUGUGUAAGUAACUAUGCACGUCUUGACGGUACCUAAUCAGAAAGCCACGGCUAACUACGUG